rnacentral:rRNA from 1 species
UGUGUAGGUGGCGCGCUAAGUCGGGUGUGAAAUUUCGGAGCUUAACUCCGAAACUGCAUUCGAUACUGGCGUGCUUGAGGACUGGAGAGGAGACUGGAAUUCAUGGUGUAGCAGUGAAAUGCGUAGAGAUCAUGAGGAAGACCAGUGGCGAAGGCGGGUCUCUGGACAGUUCCUGACACUGAGACACGAAGGCCAGGGAGCAAACG